GUAUCUUGUAUAUACCAAAGUAGGUAGCAGAUACAUUUGCCUAAAUCAAUUAAAAGGUAGACUAUGGCUCUGGUAUCGAUGUUGGUU
rnacentral:miRNA from 1 species